UCGAACUUAAAAACAGGUCAUAGGUGAUUUUUAAAAGCUAUGCGUUAAAUGAUUCAGUGGACCUUCCUGAGUCAUAUGCAACAAGAAUAAAUCCUCGAAGAAAUUAUGUUUUCACGCUAGAAAUCACGAAAAAAUGGUCUGCAGUAGGGUAGCCAAAAUAGUUUUUGUUGUAUAUCACCGACAAUACGUAACGCAUUUGUCUGAAAUUAAAG